UCCGGACGGUUGUGGCGAACUAGGAGUGGCGCCACCGGGGUGCUUAGGCCCUCUUCCUCACUUCACCGUGGCCCCUGGGGUUCGUGCUCCGAUAAAGUUCCUGAAGCUCUUCUCAUCCUGGUGGCUACAGCUGCUGGCUCAGUUCUCUCGCAGUGCAAUACCCGUUAAAAACAGCUACAUGGCUUCUCUCUUUAUGAUUGCUCCAUUUCUCUUGGUGGACGUACAAAUCCUCCUUGCAUACAGGAGUGGGAUUUAUAUCCUUGACAUUGCUCAGACACUUUCUUGACUGAAGGAAAUUAUUCGCGUGUGUGUGUAGUCCUGCCCUUACUGCAAAUGAGAGUGAAUUGCAAGCUGGGAGAAAUGAGAGCAAUUCACGGAUGUAUUGACUGCGAGAACAUGUGACUUAAGCCCUUGAAAACAAGUUAAAUGAGAAUUGAAACUGCCACUCCAUGUUUAGUUCAUCCUGCUAUGUCUGUUACACCAGAUACAUAGGGCCAGAGUCAAUGCAAAGGGCCAGAGCAGCUGGAAAUCUGCUUGGAAGGUGGGCAGCUGUAGUGUGAAGAGCAUGCAACCUCCUUGUCACUGGAGGGCUCUGUGGUUUAGAAGGGGUUAUGGUUAGGGUUUCUGGGAGAUGCGUUUGAUUCAGGGCAUCUCAGACCUUCUGCAGUGUGGGCCAAAAGAAAUACUUUUUUCACCACAGGUUAGUUAACCCAAUUAUAAACAUCAGCUAGCAUCUAUUGUAAACAGUGUAGAGAGACACUAAAGCUGACAAGCUACCAUGCUUUUAAAUACCACUACUUUUGUCUACACUAGGUGCGGAGUGGUAGUUAAAAUGUGUUUCGUUAAAUACAUUAACAUGCUUGCCUAUAAAUGGACCCUCCAAAACCGUAUUGAGGCAUGUUGAUAGGACUGCUUAGGAAGGCAUGUAGUGAGGCUACCUAUGCCUGCUUGUAGAUAAGUGGAGGGCUUCUUUCUCUGGUGGUUUUAAUCCAACACCUUACAUAAAGAGCAAUAGAUUCACAAAGAAGAAACGUGUGUGUGUGUGUGUGUGUGUGUGUGUGUGUGUGUGUGUGUGUGUGUGUGUGAUAUCACAGUAACUUCAAGAGGAGUUUGCUUAAACACAAGCAAUUUUCAAACUACUUUACAAUACAAAGACUUAAAACUAUCCAUGCAUUAUAUAUGAAAGGCAUGUAACAACAUGAUUUGUUAUGUUAGUAAAAUUUUACUGUCUCGUACAGCCUUGCCGACAUUAAAGCUGC